AUCCAACUGACGAGUCCCAAACAGGACGAAACGCGCGUUUUGGAU
rnacentral:hammerhead_ribozyme from 1 species